rnacentral:lncRNA from 13 species
AUGAAUCUGUUUGUCUCAAGUAAAUUUUUAUUUAAGCAGUGUCUCACUCUGUUGCACAGGCUGGAGUGCACUGGUGUAAUCAUAGUUCACUGCAGCCUUGACCUCCUGAGCUCAGGAUCUCACAUUGGUUUCUAUGGGAACAAGAAUGGCUCUGAAGAGGAGCAUUUUAAGAACUCUUUUCACAUUCAGUGACUGCUAACUGAACUGUAAAUUCUGUUUGUCUGCUAACGGUUUUUAACACUUAGAUUUUAACACGGAAAUAAAAGUUGGACAUUCUAGCUUCA